rnacentral:rRNA from 1 species
CGCGAUAACGAACGAGACCUUUACCUGCUAAAUAGACGCGCCCACCUCGGUGGGAGGCGUCUUCCUAGAGGGACUAUCUGUGUUUAACAGAUGGAAGUUAGAGGCAAUAACAGGUCUGUGAUGCCCUUAGAUGUCCUGGGCCGCACGCGCGCUACACUGAUAAAGUCAGCGAGUAUUCACCUUGACCGGAAGGUCUGGGAAAUCUUAUGAAACUUUACCGUGAUGGGGAUUGACCAUUGCAAUUAUUGGUCAUGAACGAGGAAUUCCUAGUAAGUGCGGGUCAUCAGCCCGCGUUGAUUACGUCCCUGCCUUUUGUACACACCGCCCGUCGAUAAUACCGAUUGAAUGGUUG